rnacentral:lncRNA from 1 species
AAAAGAUGAUAUGGAAAAAGUGUUGUGAAAGCUCUUACUUUUACAUUCUACCAACCCUGUAUAAGGUCGGUGUCAGAGUCAAGCAAUUAAUAAUCACAAUUGGGGUGGACAAUUUAGCAUCUAGGUCAGUGAUUAGCAAGUAAUAGUUUUCUCAUCCAUGUUUGUUGAAUUAGCAUAAGAUAUUAUGGCUUAUGUACUGAUAUGGCUGGCUACUUUAUCAAGGCAGUAAUUUGUCCUUUAUUCUUGCUGCUGUAGAUAUUUUUCCCUUUCCCAAGCUAAGAAGGUAGCCACGUCUUGUGUUUUUUGUUUUUGUUUUUACCUAGGUGGUUUUUGUAUUCCAUCAGGAAGCAGACAUUGCCAAGCAAGAGAAGACAACUCCUUCUUAGCCUUUUGUUUGCAAUAACCUUGGCUCAGUGAGAGUUAUGUAGAAAGUAAGUGCAUGAAACUUAACAGGUAGAAGCUGUGGGACCCAAGGGGAGAGGAAGAUUCCUGAGACUAACAGAUGGAGUCGGGUUCUGGGAGGCGGUGGGGGUGAUUCUGUGCUGAGCAAAAGUAUCACCCCAGGAUUGCACAGUCUCAGGCUGGUGGACUCCAAGAAUAUAGUCCUGGGAGCAAUGGCACAGAUAUCCCCUGCCUACCGUCAGAAGACCAUGUGGGCAGGGAUGGUGAACUUAACAGAGACCAGCAUGGACAGAGGUCUAGAGGACUCUUCUCCAACUCCUCCCACCAGCUAUUCUCUGGGACCUGAGGAGGUAG